CCUACGGGUGGCAGCAGUGAGGAAUAUUGGUCAAUGGGCGGGAGCCUGAACCAGCCAAGUCGCGUGAGGGAAGACGGUCCUAUGGAUUGUAAACCUCUUUAGGCGGGGAGCAAUGCCGGGCACGCGUGCCCGGAUGGAGAGUACCCGCAGAAUAAGCAUCGGCUAACUCCGUGCCAGCAGCCGCGGUAAUACGGAGGAUGCGAGCGUUAUCCGGAUUUAUUGGGUUUAAAGGGUGCGUAGGCGGAUUUUUAAGUCAGCGGUAAAAUGUCCGGGCUCAACCCGGGCCGGCCGUUGAAACUGGUGAUCUUGAGUGGGCGAGAAGUAUGCGGAAUGCGUGGUGUAGCGGUGAAAUGCAUAGAUAUCACGCAGAAUUCCGAUUGCGAAGGCAGCAUACCGGCGCCCGACUGACGCUGAGGCACGAAAGCGUGGGGAUCGAACGGGAUUAGAUACCCCAGUAGUC
rnacentral:rRNA from 1 species